CCAGACUCCUACGGGAGGCAGCAGUGGGGGAUAUUGCACAAUGGGGGAAACCCUGAUGCAGCGACGCCGCGUGGGCGAAGAAGUAUUUCGGUAUGUAAAGCCCUAUCAGCAGGGAAGAAGAAAUGACGGUACCUGACUAAGAAGCCCCGGCUAACUACGUGCCAGCAGCCGCGGUAAUACGUAGGGGGCAAGCGUUAUCCGGAUUUACUGGGUGUAAAGGGAGCGUAGACGGCUAUGCAAGUCUGGAGUGAAAGGCGGGGGCCCAACCCCCGGACUGCUCUGGAAACUGUAGAGCUAGAGUGCAGGAGAGGUAAGUGGAAUUCCUAGUGUAGCGGUGAAAUGCGUAGAUAUCAGGAGGAACACCGGCGGCGAAGGCGGCCUGCUGGACCGCUACUGACGUUGAGGCUCGAAAGCGUGGGGAGCGAACAGGAUUAGAUACCCGCGUAC
rnacentral:rRNA from 1 species